CCGCCCCGACUUUAAAAACCUCCCCGGUCCGGCCCCGGGGUUUGAUCAGCUGAGAACAACCUCUGAUUGACAACCCCUGAAACCCUGUCUCUAUGGAAACCGUCUCAGCGGCGCCGCGAGGGCUGGCUCGAGGGCUGCUGUGAAUGAGGUGACGUCACGGCUCCGGCGCCAGAAAGUCUGCUCCAGAGAGAGAGCGAGAGAGAGAGAAGGGAAGAGAGAGAGAGGCAGGGGUAAGGCUGAGGCUGCAGCCGGUGGAGGCUCGCGCAGCCCUGCACCGACGUGCUCUUGCGCCAAUUCAUCACCUGCCUGUCAGGCAUCAGUCAGUGCGCGUCCAGAGAAAUGUACACAGCUGCGGCAGCGAGGGGAAGACGAGGAGAAGAUGGAAAAAUCCGAUUGCAGCAGAUGUGGACACAGACUGCAGGAGGAGCAGAUUAUAUUAGAAAUGCAUAAAAAUCAGGAGCGUCAGACAGCUGAGGUAGAGGGUGUCCGCGUGCUGAGGAGAGCUGCUUGUAAAAGGAGAAACAUGAAGAGUGUUUUGCAGGAUUUUGUUAAGAUCCUGACGCGAAAUCUCGAUUAUAUUGAAUAUUUGAGGCAACUUUCCUUCUCCCUCGAUGUUCGCUAUAAUCCAACAUGUUUGUGCUUCAGACUAAGCAAUCCAAAGUGCGUAUUUUUUGUCCAUUAGGAUUAAUUCUGCUUUUAGGAUUUCUUUGUUUUUCUCUUUCAGCCGAGUUGCCUUUAAAAUAAACCAAAAAACACCACUUCUAUAAUCUUUCCCCUCUUUAAAUUCUCCCUCCAUUCUGUGUUAUACCAACGACCAGCGCUUCUCCUCUUUUAAACAGUGCUAUUAUGUUAUCCAUACAGAAAAAGAGACAUCUAACAAAUCACAACAAUCCAUAACAGCCCCUGGGGGCAAUUAGUUAGUGGCAGCAUCAAAGAAGCCCCCCUCUCCACCAAACCAACCUCCUCCAGCUGAAGAAUGAAGCGUGUAAUUCCUACAAACAAACGACUCAUUCAGAAAACAUUAAAAUGUCAAUAGCGGUUAAUCAAGUCUUCACGUGCCCAGAUAUGAAAGGCACAUUUGAGCGUGACCAAAUGAACUUUGACAUGCAACAUACUCAGGUAGCGAUUAACAUUGAACUGUUCAGACCUUAACUGAUGUAUUUAGUGAGUAUAAAAGGGCAGGGGCACAUGGCUUUUUAGGUAAAAAUGUCACUUUUCUGAAAGAAGCUUGGUGCGUAAAUACGCUUAGACGCAUUUAAAUGCUAAAUUAGUUUUAAAACAAAUCAGCAAGGGAAAAACAUGAGUCUUUUCCCUACCUGUUUAUUCUUGACAAACACAACAGGCUCUUCUGAGAACCGAAUCCCCACAUGCGUAAAAUUAAAGAACCAUCCUAUCUCGAGCUCUAAUAGUCCCCUAAGUUUCAUUUUCUCAUGCGUAAAAAUACUUAAACAUGAAUUGGUCUGAUUUUGCUUGGACCACUCUGUUGUUUACAGCUGUUUCAGUCUCGGCACAAACAUUUCUGUGUUUUCAGUGACAGAAACUUGCCUCCACACCGGUCCAGGCUGGAGGGAAUUAAGAAUGAUCAGACGCGCCUGUUGUGGUCCCCA
rnacentral:lncRNA from 1 species